AUUGAACGCUAGCGGCAGGCUUAAUACAUGCAAGUCGAGGGGCAGCAUGAUUGUAGCAAUACAAUUGAUGGCGACCGGCAAACGGGUGCGGAACACGUACACAACCUCCCAAUAAGUGGGGAAUAGCCCGGAGAAAUUUGGAUUAAUACCCCGUAACAUAACGAUGUGGCAUCACGUUGUUAUUAUAGAUUUUUCGCUUAUUGAUGGGUGUGCGGCUGAUUAGAUAGUUGGCGGGGUAACGGCCCACCAAGUCUACGAUCAGUAGCUGAUGUGAGAGCAUGAUCAGCCACACGGGAACUGAGACACGGGCCCGACUCCUACGGGAGGCAGCAGUAAGGAAUAUUGGACAAUGGACGCAAGUCUGAUCCAGCCAUGCCGCGUGAAGGAUUAAGGUCCUCUGGAUUGUAAACUUCUUUUAUAAGGGACGAAAAAAGGCUUUUCUAAGUCGUCUGACGGUACCUUAUGAAUAAGCACCGGCUAACUCCGUGCCAGCCGCCGCCGUAAAAC
rnacentral:rRNA from 1 species